AAAGAACAAGCAGGGAUGUAAUGAACAUGAUGGAAGUGAUGUUUGUUUGCUUUUUAUGUAGACAAACUGGUGAAGCAGAGAUCUACUGGAUCCUCGUCCAAGUCUGUUCCUCUCACCUGGGUGGAUGUUCUGUCACUGCCUCUUCCUACCAACAAAGAUGGAGGUCACACAAAACGGGACAAAGAAGAGGAGCAGCACAGCUCUGAGGAGGAUGAUGACUGGUGUCCUCCGCUGCCAGCCAGGACCUACCUGAUGGAUGCCUCCAGAGAGGAGCUCACUAGCCUGCCCUCUAAACCUGAGGAGCCGUCCUGCACGGCCACAUCAAAGUCUUCCCCCCAGCAAGACACGCCUAGGCCUCACGACAGUCCACGGCUGCAGCAUUUUGACUUCCUGGCUCGUCACCACUCCAGCUCCCACAUCUCCCAGUCCAACCCCAAUCUGUUCACCAACACCAGCCCCCGAGAUGCAAGUCAGCUUUACCACACUAACCAAUGGGCCGAAGGCUUCAAGGCAGAAAGCCUUGGUAAAGGACAAUCUCCUGCUGCAGCUGCAGAAUCGAGCCCUGCAGCCCAAACACACAGAUCCAGGAGUAAGAAGAGAACGCCCAAAGAUGGACUCAACAGACCUGAUCUGCACAGCGAAGCAGGUAGCACGUUAAAACUGUGCAUCACAUUUGAACCAUAACAGUACGUUUUACACAGCAACAGUCUGUUCUUCAUA
ensembl:lncRNA